rnacentral:lncRNA from 1 species
CUUGGCCCCUCUCCAGGCGGGGUCCGCAUUGGUGGGCUGGGCUGGGCUGGGCUGGGCAGGUGGACGGUGCGGCUUCUCUCUGCUACCCACCACCACGUCCUGUACCGAGGCAGGUCCUGGGGUCUGGGCUGCUGGUUGUGAGGAAGCAGGGGGUCUGCGAUUCUUGGGUUGUGACAGAGGAAGAGUCUGUGCCCAGCCCCUGGUGUAGAGGGACAUGGGACUUACUCUCACAGGUCCCUGGGGAGAAAAUGGAGGAGACUGGGAACAUGGCAUUUCCUGAAGUCCUGAUGUGAUCCUGACCUAGAGGGUUGGGUCCAAGGACAGGAGGGCAGGAGCGGAGGUCAGCUACCAGGGGCAAGUGGCAGGGGACACCACGGCCAGUGGCUUCAGAGUCUGGGGUGAAGGUAAUAGGAUCCCAAAGGGUCAGUGGACCAGGUGGCCUACUCUGGUCUGUCCCUCACUCAGCUUGCGGGGAACCACCUGCCCACACAGCCCCAAGAGGGUGCGCCAGGCAAGUACAGGGUGCCCCAGAGCAACCACCCAAAGCCACUGUCCGCGGCUUCCCACAGCGUCGGCCUAUGAGCUGUAAAGCACCCAGCUGCACUGCGACGUCCUGUUGGUAGGACAGGCCCUGCUGCCCACACGGGACCCAGUGGGUGUGGCCUGCAUGGUGUCAGGCUGGAGCCUGGCGUUGGAGAAGGAACCCCGGACAUAAGAGAUCUCUGUGUAACACUGUGUGUGGGAGGACACGGGGGCCAGGAUGGAGAUGGGUCGACACAGUCAGGCAGACGCUGAGUCAGAAGCAGACACACAGAGCGGAGUCCCUGAGACGGCAGAGCCCCAGACGCCGGGCACUGAGAGGAGGGGAGACGCCUGGGGGUGGCUGAUGGACACACAGGCCGUUGAGCUGUGUUUCACUUUAUGUUCCCACAGUGCCAGCGGCCAGGUUCUAAGGAGCACCCUUCCUGCUCUGUGUGUGCGUGCGUGUGCGUGCGUGCGUGCGUGCGUGUGUAUGUGAGUGUGUGUGUUGGAUUGUACUUUAAGGUCUGCCUGAGGUGUGUGUAUGUCCAGCCCCGGGGCUGCAAAUGCCCCAAGCAUACUGUUCACACAUCCAAAGGAAAUGGAGGACUGAUUUCCACAAUGUGAGUAUCCAUACAUAUGUCCCCUAAAUAAAUCAUGUAUCUGAUUAAAACAACUCAUGUUUAUAAAGCA